GGGGAUUUAGCUCAGUGGUACAAGUGCCUGCCUGGCAAGCGGGAGGUUGUGAGUUCAAUCCCUG
rnacentral:tRNA from 1 species